AACGAACGCUGGCGGCAUGCCUAACACAUGCAAGUCGAACGAGACCUUCGGGUCUAGUGGCGCACGGGUGCGUAACGCGUGGGAACCUGCCCUUAGGUUCGGAAUAACUCCCCGAAAGGGGUGCUAAUACCGGAUAAUGUCUUCUGACCAAAGAUUUAUCGCCUUUGGAUGGGCCCGCGUUGGAUUAGCUAGUUGGUAGGGUAAAAGCCUACCAAGGCGACGAUCCAUAGCUGGUCUGAGAGGAUGGUCAGCCACACUGGGAAUGAGACACGGCCCAGACUCCUACGGAAGGCAGCAGAGGGGAAUAUUGGACAAUGGGCGAAAGCAUGAUCCAGCAAUGACGGGGGAGUGAUGAAGGCCUUAGGGUUGUAAAGCUCUUUUAACCGGGAUGAUAAUGACAGUACCGGGAGAAUAAGCGCCGGCUAACUACGUG
rnacentral:rRNA from 1 species